rnacentral:rRNA from 1 species
GCAAAUUACCCACUCCCGGCACGGGGAGGUAGUGACRAAAAAUAACGAUACGGGACUCAUCCGAGGCCCCGUAAUCGGAAUGAGCACACUUUAAAUCCUUUAACGAGUAUCCAUUGGAGGGCAAGUCUGGUGCCAGCAGCCGCGGUAAUUCCAGCUCCAAUAGCGUAUAUUAAAGUUGUUGCGGUUAAAAAGCUCGUAGUCGGACUUGUGUCACACGCUGCCGGUUCACCGCCCGUCGGUGUCUAACUGGCAUGCACGUGCUGACGUCCUGCCGGUGGCCCGAGCCGGCCCGGGAGCUCUGGGUGCGGGAUUCCCUUCGGGGGCCCGCCUCGAACCCGGUGUCUGGGGAGGGCCUACUCAUACCCCUCGCGGUGCUCUUAACCGAGUGUCUCGAUGGGCCGGCACGUUUACUUUGAACAAAUUAGAGUGCUUAAAGCAGGCAGCAUCCGCCUGAAUACUGAGUGCAUGGAAUAAUGGAAUAGGACCUCGGUUCUAUUUUGUUGGUUUUCGGAAUCCCCGAGGUAAUGAUCAAUAGGGACAGACGGGGGCAUUCGUAUUGCGACGUUAGAGGUGAAAUUCUUGGAUCGUCGCAAGACGGACCGAAGCGAAAGCAUUUGCCAAGAAUGUUUUCUCUGAUCAAGAACGAAAGUUAGAGGUUCGAAGGCGAUCAGAUACCGCCCUAGUUCUAACCAUAAACGAUGCCAGCCAGCAAUCCGCCGAAGUUCCUCCGAUGACUCGGCGGGCGGCUUCCGGGAAACCAAAGCUUUUGGGUUCCGGGGGAAGUAUGGUUGCAAAGCUGAAACUUAAAGGAAUUGACGGAAGGGCACCACCAGGAGUGGAGCCUGCGGCUUAAUUUGACUCAACACGGGAAACCUCACCAGGCCCGGACACCGGGAGGAUUGACAGAUUGAGAGCUCUUUCUUGAUUCGGUGGGUGGUGGUGCAUGGCCGUUCUUAGUUGGU